ACCUAGUUAAUUCUACUAGUAGUUAUAUAUUUAUCUUAAAGAUUAAACUAUAUAUAUCUAAAUAUAAGUAAUUAUAUAGUAAAACUACAAAUAGCUUAUUAUAUAAAUUACUAUUUAUUUAAUAAUACUUUACUACUUAGAUAUUUAUAAUAAUUCUAGAGUUAAUAUACAUUAAAAAUCCCAACUUUAGAAGGAAUAUAUUUAUUAAAUUAAAACCUAAUACUUUUUAAAGCUUAUUAAUAAUUUAUAAUAAUAUUUUAAAUUAUAUAGCCUUAUAUUAGCAAUAGUUUAUUUAAAUUUCUUCUUUAUUAAUUUUUAAUAUUCAAGUAGUAUUUUAAUAUAGUUAUAAUAAGUAAUAGAGGGUUAAGGUUUAACCCUAGAGAAAGAGCUUGAGAAAUAACUAUUAUAUCUAAAGAAAGUAAUAGGUAUAUAAAUUACCUAAUUUUAAUAUAGAGAUGUAGUAAUAAUAAAUAUUAAUAUAGGGGUUUUUUAAGUUUUAUAAUUAGAAUAAAUAUAAUUUAAAUUUCUUAAUAAGGAAUAAUUAGAAAGUAAGUCUAGUAUUAAUAGCUAUAGUAAUUCUAGUUUUAAUAGUAUAUAUUAAAGUUAUUAUAAUUAAAAAGCUUAUAAUAGAAUUUUAGGCCUAACUAACUAGUCUACCUUAUUAUAUAUAUUAGUCUAGCUAGGCUUUUCCCUCUAUAAAACUAUAUACUUUUUAUUAAGUAUACUAAGGAAAAAGGAUUUUUAAUUUAAAAGAAUUAGAGUAUUCUAAGUAGGUUUAUAUUUAAAUAUAUUAAUAUAGAAUAAGAGAAUAAAAUAUAUAGUUCUAUUUAACUAGUUUCUAAGACUAUUAUAAUAAUUAAUAGGAAUAGUUAGAAGUAUUAGUAUUUAAUUAUUAGAAGUAAAAUUCUUAGAUUUAUUAAAAACUAACUACUAUAAAAAUAUUUACUAAAGAUUUUUUUAUUUAUUAAAAAUGAAAGUUAGAAGAUUAAAGAUAAUUAGAUACUAUUAUAGUCUUAAUUAUAAAUUAUACUAACUAGAGAUUAAAUAAUAUUAUUUUUUAACUUAUUUAGUAUUUUAUAAUGAGUUAAAAUUUUUAAACUCUAGGGGGAAUAUAAUUAUAAGGUUAAAACUUAAAGAAAUUAAUAGAAAGGUAUUACUAAGAGUAAAUAAUAGCUAUUUAAAUUCUGCUUUAAAUAGUAAGCCUAUAAAAAGUCUAGUAGUUAGUUUUAAAUUACUAGUUAUCUUAAUAGUAGUAAUAUCUCUAAAUUAUAAGACAUUCUUAAAAAGUAAUACUUCUAAAUAGUAUUUAAAAGAAAUACUAUAGUAGUAAUAUAAUAGCUACUAGUAUAAAGAUAAUAUACUACUUAUAAGGCGACUUAUAACUAAGUUUCUAACUAUAGGGAAAAUUUAGAAAUUUAAGAGAAAUAAAUAGUACUUACUAGGUAUUACUGAAGAUAGAAUUUAUACCUAUUUAAAAAAGUAGGAACUAAUUAAUAUAUUAGUUAAAAAAGAAUUUAUAGUUUAAUUUAAUUUAAUAUAGGGAAACUUAUUGAAUCUAGAUAAAAUAAGGGUUAAUAAAUUAAGAAUUCUUUUUUAAUUUUAUAAAUAGUAAUAUAUAGCUAUGUUUAGUUAGUGGAGUAAUUUAUCUACUUAAAUAUAAUAAUAAAUAAAACUUUAACCUACUAAAUAGCCUAUAUUACUUUAAUAAUAUACUAGUUUCUUAAAAAGACUAUUAGCUUAAGCUAAUAGAAGUUUAAAGUAAAAAUAAGUUAAUUUUUAUAAAUUUAUAAUAAUAAAUCUUAUUAAAAAUAAUUAUUAGUCUAAUAAUUCUAAUUCUAUAAGAGAAGUCUCUAAUUAUUAAGUAGAAGGAUAUUUCUUAAAAUACUUAUUAUAAGUAAUACUACUUAAUAUAAAGAAUACCUAACUACUUCUUAGUAGUAACUAAUCUUAUAAUAAGCCUAAGUAAUACUAAACUACUAUAAUAUAUAUUAAAAAGUAAACUUAAAAGAACUUAUGAUAUAUAGUAAUCUUACAUAAAACCCUAACUUUUUAAGAAAGCCUAGUAAGUUAAUAUAAAAGAGGCCUACUUAAUUACAAGCUAGUAUUUAAAUACUAUAAUAUCCUUAGAUAUUCUAAACUACAUAUAUAUUAUACUAAUAGAGCUAGCAAGUAUUCUUAUAACUAGAAAGCUUAAAAAAUCUUAUUAAACUUUAUUAUACUAAAGAUAGAAUAUUAUAAUUAUUACUCUUUAAAAGAAAUCCCUAAUAAAUAUAAAUUAUCAACUUAUAUUAAUUAUAUCCCUACCUUUUAUAUAUAUUACUUAUUGCUACUACUAAUUAAGUAACUUAAUAAGGCUUUGAAACUAACCUAGAGAAAUAAGCAACUAUUACUUAAAAGUAGAAAAUUAUUUAAACUUAAUUAUUUAAAAAAAGUAAAAAUUAUAAUAAGAUUUCUAUUAGUAAAUCAAUAGAAGGAUUAUUA
rnacentral:rRNA from 1 species